UACAGGGGGGGCAAGCGUUGUUCGGAAUUACUGGGCGUAAAGGGCUCGUAGGUGGCCAACUAAGUCAGACGUGAAAUCCCUCAGCUUAACUGGGGAACUGCGUCUGAUACUGGAUGGCUUGAGUUUGGGAGAGGGAUGCGGAAUUCCAGGUGUAGCGGUGAAAUGCGUAGAUAUUCGGAGGAACACCAGUGGCGAAGGCGGCUCACUGGUCCAUUACUGACGCUGAGGUGCGAAAGCGUGGGGAGCAAACAGG
rnacentral:rRNA from 1 species